AAGUUAUAAUGAACUUCACUGACUGAGGACUUUACUUGUUGAUGAUCUUCAGGUCGCAUGACUCAAGACGUCCAAGGGAGGAGAUGAUCUGCAGCAUCCUGGUGAUCUUCAUCCUGACCUCCUGUGUCUGUGCAGGGUCAUUUGUAGUGAAUGUGACACAGAGCUGGUAUCAUGCAGAGGAGAACCACAACAUCUCACUGGAAUGGAUGUUCCCCACCAGCACAAACCACUCCACCAACUCCCUCUA